AUUGAACGCUGGCGGCAGGCCUAACACAUGCAAGUCGAGCGGAGCGGCGGACGGGUGAGUAAUGCCUGGGAAUCUGCCUGGUAGUGGGGGAUAACGUCCGGAAACGGGCGCUAAUACCGCAUACUAUCAGAUGGGCCUAGGUCGGAGUAGCUAGUGGGGGGGGUAAAGGCCUACCAAGGCGACGAUCCGUAACUGGUCUGAGAGGAUGAGCAGCCACAUUGUGACUGAGAUACGGCCCAGUCUCCUACGGGAGGCAGCAGAGGGGAAUAGUGGACAAGGGGCGAAAGCCUGAUCCAACCAUGCCGCGUGUGGGAAGAAGGUCUUCGGAUUGUAAAGCUCUUUAAGUUGGGAGGCGGUACCAACAGAAUAAGCACCGGCUAACUUCGUGCCAGCAGCCGCGGUAAUUC
rnacentral:rRNA from 1 species